GGCUGCUGCGGGAGGACGCCGUGUACGUGGGCGCCGUCGCCGUCGUGCUCGCGCUCGUCAUGGUACGUCACGUGUAGUGUAGCUCCCGCCGCCGCGACCAUGAUGUACGUGGAGGGCUGCCACACGCGCUCCGUGCGGCUGCUGCGGGAGGACGCCGUGUACGUGGGCGCCGUCGCCGUCGUGCUCGCGCUCGUCAUGAUUUUGGGACUCGUCUUUUCCUGUGGACUUUUUGUGAAAAUAAAAUGAUUCUGGUCUGUGA